UACGGAGGGUGCGAGCGUUGUCCGGAAUUAUUGGGCGUAAAGCGCGCGCAGGCGGUCCUUUAAGUCUGAUGUGAAAGCCCUCGGCUCAACCGAGGAGGGUCAUUGGAAACUGGAGGACUUGAGUGCAGAAGAGGAAAGUGGAAUUCCAAGUGUAGCGGUGAAAUGCGUAGAGAUUUGGAGGAACACCAGUGGCGAAGGCGACUUUCUGGUCUGUAACCGACGCUGAGGCGCGAAAGCGUGGGGAGCAAACAGG
rnacentral:rRNA from 1 species